rnacentral:lncRNA from 1 species
CCGGAUUUUUUAAUGAGGAAAUGGAAUUGGGAAACAGAGAUAUUGUAUAUGAAACACUCUGACAGUUUAAAAACUGUUAGCAGCAUCUAGUGAGACUGCUUAAUUUUUAGUACUAAUAGCAAAGCAAUUCCCAGAACAACAGUUCUCUGAGCUGCAGUGGUACUCUGGGGAUGCUGCUGCUGUUUGUAACAAUAUUACUCCUCUUUAUCUUUCUUUUUGUUUUGUAUUUUUUUAAAGUCUCGUCACUCCCCAUUUGUUGUGAUACUGGCUGUGUGUGAUGAGAACAAGGGAGGUUCCCAUUUGGAGUGGCUCCUGGAUAUCUCACCACAUCUCUCUGAAGGAACAGCUGCCUCCUCCAUCCCCUCUCAUGACGAUAAUUCAGCAGUCACCAACUUUCACCCAGUGUCAAAGGCAGAUAUGGAAGAUAGAAAAAUGAAAAACUCUGGGCAGAAGUCAUUCCCAAAAAGAGCCUUAUAGAGUAACCAGUCUUCCAUCUGGAUAUGUUGUAACAUGAAAGUAUUAUGCUGCAAAAUUUGAAUUUGUACUUAUAAUUGUUUUGAUGUCAUACCAUCAGAAUAAAAGAAUACCGUGCAAUUAUGGUCUGUGUAAU